rnacentral:rRNA from 1 species
UACAGAGGGGGCAAGCGUUGUUCGGAAUUACUGGGCGUAAAGGGCGCGUAGGUGGCCUUUUGAGUCAGACGUGAAAUCCCCCGGCUUAACCUGGGAACUGCGUCUGAUACUGGAAGGCUUGAGUUCGGGAGAGGGAUGUGGAAUUCCAGGUGUAGCGGUGAAAUGCGUAGAUAUCUGGAGGAACACCGGUGGCGAAGGCGGAUCUCUGGGCCGUAACUGACGCUGAGGAGCGAAAGCAUGGGGAGCGAACAGG